CUGAUCCUUUCGUAUGCAAGACUAGCAGACUUGCCUGAAAGAGGAACCUGGGAGGUAAAUCAGGCUAAUGAAGCAGCUCAGGUAUUUUUCCUGAGAGAAAAUUCUGAAAUUUCGAAAUGAUAAAGUCUUCCAGAAAUGGAAAUAGAUUGAUCAACAGGAAGCCUAAGAUCCAAAAGGCGGAGGUAAAAUAAGGAUUGAAGCCAAGUCAGAAGUUGCAAAGGAAGGCAAAACAAAAGGGCUCUGCUAAGACUUUUCCAGGAAAGUGGUGAACAAUUGUGGCCGCCUCUGAUUGAAAGAGAGAAGAAAUUCAGCCUGAAGCAGGAGCAGAGAAAGAACACCUGAUCUAGAGUAACGGAGCCUGUUCAGAGUGCCUACAUGAAUGACUUCUGCUCACGAGAAGAUCUGAAAUACAUGUUAUGGAAUGUGCAUUGUAAGCUGCAGCAAUUAUUGCAAAUAUACCAGUAUUAAAAACAAAACAAAAAAACCCCAACCCUGCUAGAACUGACUCACAGAUGGACAAAUUUGUUAUUGUUUUCAUGAUCUUUUGCAAUGUGUUUGCAGGUUUCCACAGCCUUGUUUAAAUUCAAGCAAGGACCUUUUUGCACCAACUUUGCAGGAUUUCAUUUGUGAGUUGUACAUUUAAUUCUCCACAGCAGAUGGUGAUGUGUGGGUGUACUGCUGUAUAUUUGCAACAGAUUCCGUAUCCUACAAAAUUAAUUAAGUGUCUCAUGUGCUGAUUUAAAAUCAGAAUUGUAUUGUUUAUGAAAAGCUAAUUCUUGCAUAUCAUUUUGAUAGGACCUGUGCAAUUCAAACAAAAUGCAAGUGAAGAAAAGUCUAAGUGCUUCUUUAAAGCAAAUGGAUAGUGGCAGCUCUCGUCAGUCAUGAUGCUCAGUCUGAAGAGCUAAUGAUCGUGUGUGUUUAAAAUUCACUUAAAUAAAAAUAAGUAUUUUGGGCCUCAGUGUCAG